rnacentral:rRNA from 1 species
UACGGAGGGUGCGAGCGUUAAUCGGAAUUACUGGGCGUAAAGGGUGCGUAGGUGGUUUGAUAAGUUAGCUGUGAAAUUCCUGGGCUUAACCUGGGGAGGUCAGCUAAGACUGUUAAGCUAGAGUAUGGGAGAGGGUAGUGGAAUUUCCGGUGUAGCGGUGAAAUGCGUAGAGAUCGGAAGGAACACCGGUGGCGAAGGCGGCUACCUGGCCUGAUACUGACACUGAGGCACGAAAGCGUGGGGAGCAAACAGG